GAAAGAUGAAAAGAACUUUGAAAAGAGAGUUAAACAGUACGUGAAAUUGUUGAAAGGGAAACGAUUGAAGCCAGUCGUACCUUCGGGUAAUCAGCCUUUCGGGUGCGAUUCUGUGGAGUGUGAGGAGCUUAACACCUUCAUGCUUUGCAUAUUCGUACUCUUGGGUGUACUUGCCCGUGUGGUUGGUUAACAUCAAUUUUGGUGGUCAUAAAAUGACUGGAGGAAUGUAGCUUCGAUCUCGUAUUGAAGUGUUAUA
rnacentral:rRNA from 1 species